CUGUACCUACGGGGCGCAGCAGUGAGGAAUAUUGGUCAAUGGGCGGAAGCCUGAACCAGCCAAGUCGCGUGAGGGAAUAAGGCCCUACGGGUCGUAAACCUCUUUUGCCGGGGAGCAAGGGCCGGGACGAGUCCCGGUCCGGAGAGUACCCGGAGAAAAAGCAUCGGCUAACUCCGUGCCAGCAGCCGCGGUAAUACGGAGGAUGCGAGCGUUAUCCGGAUUUAUUGGGUUUAAAGGGUGCGUAGGCGGGCUUUCAAGUCAGCGGUAAAAAUUCGGGGCUCAACCCCGUCCGGCCGUUGAAACUG
rnacentral:rRNA from 1 species